rnacentral:lncRNA from 1 species
AAAAAUAUUAACAUACAUAAAAAAUCGGGAAGAACACCUAAAAAAGAUAUAGAGGUGAUGCAAAAAGUAAAUUAAAAAAGCUUACUACAACUUACUUUUAAUAUGAACACCUAAAAAAUACAAACAGAAAUAAUGGAAAAAUAAAAAUAAAGGGAAUCACUAUGACUUAUCUUCAAUAUGAAGGUUCUUCACCUUCAUUCAAAGGUAAAUAAUACCUGAAUGAUAUUGCAAUUGCAAAAUUUAUAAAAGUAAGUACCAUGCAAGGCAUUUGAGAUCCGAGGAUCAAACAAUUUAACACAUCGCACAAUUAAGCACACAAA